rnacentral:piRNA from 1 species
AAAUAUGGACUGCAGUUACAGGGU